AUUACCACAGACAGUAACUUGUGUUUGUCAUGUUGCAUAGCCAGACUUUCACGGGUGCUCAUUUGAACAUCGGGAAACUGUAUCAUCCGAUUUGAGCAAUUUGGGGAGUACCUAUCCCCGUGUCAAGUUGCGUUCCGUGCCGAGUGUCCAUAAUUCUGUAGUUAGGCUAUCAUACGCCGUAUUCCGUAUUAAAAUCGUUCUCUCGCGUAUUGCGUUGAAAGUUUAUUUACUUACUUGUCGAUCAAGUGUGAUGUGCAUUCUCAUUAGCCCUAUUAGAGAUGCGGUAGGCUAGGCCUAUAGGACAAUCCAAAACACGUCUUAGGAUACCAACCUACUAGCUAAACACUAUUUCGCCAUUGAAGGUCAGGUUCUGUCGUUUAGUAUCAGCUGGUGCUGGGUAAUAAUGUUUUGAAACUAGCCAAUGAGUAAUUGCAAAUAUUAAUGACUCGUCCGAACACAUUUUGUAACCUGCUCACCAACUGUUCAACUCAGGAGUAUGGAAUGUUAAUUGCAUUCGACAGUUAUGUGAUACGUUUCCUUCUUCAAGAGCAUUUCUAGACAAAGUUAUGCCAUUUAUCAAGAAAGAAUAGACAAAUAUGUGGGAUGCAAUAUCUGCAAGUGCCAUACUUUCAAGUACCCUUCGAUUUGUAGUAACUGGCCAGUCAUUUGAUUAGCUGAAGAUUACCACACCAAUAUCCCACAGAGCCUCUGAUGGAUAAUUAUGGAAACAUGUACUGUUAUCAUAUCUGUGUUGAAGGAUUAUAUUAUGGUAGGUAUAUCUGUAUAACCAUGAAUAGAAUGGAAAACUUUAAUGUACAGGACCCGUUGAAACAAAAUUCAUAUUAGUAUACUCUUAAUUAAAUUAAUGUAAGUUUAUCAAAUACUUAUUACUUAAGUACAUUCUUGUUGAGGAUAAUAGUAUGAAAAUAUACAAUAUUCAAAUUAAUGUAAAUAUAUAAAAGUUUGAUAAUUUUUACAUGCAAUAACCAUUUACCUCCCAGGUAUAGAAAUCA